rnacentral:rRNA from 1 species
ACGGGUGAGUAACGUCUGGGAAACUGCCCGAUGGAGGGGGAUAACUACUGGAAACGGUAGCUAAUACCGCAUAACGUCGCAAGACCAAAGUGGGGGACCUUCGGGCCUCACACCAUCGGAUGUGCCCAGAUGGGAUUAGCUAGUAGGUGGGGUAAUGGCUCACCUAGGCGACGAUCCCUAGCUGGUCUGAGAGGAUGACCAGCCACACUGGAGCUGAGACACGGUCCAGACUCCUACGGGAGGCAGCAGUGGGGAAUAUUGCACAAUGGGCGCAAGCCUGAUGCAGCCAUGCCGCGUGUAUGGAGAAGGCCUUCGGGUUGUAAAGUACUUUCAGCGGGGAGGAAGGCGGUGAAGUUAAUAGCUUCACCGAUUGACGUUACCCGCAGAAGAAGCACCGGCUAACUCCGUGCCAGCAGCCGCGGUAAUACGGAGGGUGCAAGCGUUAAUCGGAAUUACUGGGCGUAAAGCGCACGCAGGCGGUCUGUCAAGUCGGAUGUGAAAUCCCCGGGCUUAACCUGGGAACUGCAUUCGAAACUGGCAGGCUGGAGUCUUGUAGAGGGGGGUAGAAUUCCAGGUGUAGCGG